GAAAUGCGAUUAGUAGUGUGAAUUGCAGAAUUCAGUGAAUCAUCGAAUCUUUGAACGCACAUUGCGCCCCUUGGUAUUCCAUGGGGCAUGCCUGUUCGAGCGUCAUUUGUACCCUCAAGCUCUGCUUGGUGUUGGGUGUUUGUCCCGUCUCCGCGCGUGGACUCGCCCCAAAGUGAUUGGCAGCCGGCGUACUGGUCCCGGAGCGCAGCACAUGUCGCGCAAACGAGUGCCUUGGUACGGCGGCGUCCAUAAGCCCCUCUCUCACGCUCUUGACCUCGGAUCAGGUAGGGAUACCCGCUGAACUUAAAC
rnacentral:misc_RNA from 1 species